GCUCUGACCCUGGGUCUUCAUUGGCUCCACUGAUUGCUCGGCGAGUGUCCAGGGUCGACUUAAUGUUGACAGUGGCAGUCACCAGCAGGAAAAGCACGGCCUCUGCCUGACAGAAUCUCCUCGGGGCCCGCUUGUUGUCAGUUUAUGCUUCCAGAGCAGCAUGUUUCAGCUUCCAGGAAUUCAUCCCUGAGGGGUAAAUUAGACUGGCUACAGAAAGAGACUGACUACAGAGGAGAAGGGUGAGAGAUCAGCCAGUCUUGAUAUGAAGAGCCCAGAAGGCAGCUGGCAGAUGGGGAGAUGAUGUGAAGAAUUUGGACUGGGAAGGACAAGGUGAGACAGAUUCAAGGAGGCUGGAGAUGGAGAAAUGUCCUUUACCUAAGUUGGAUGAGACUCUGGUCUGUCAUCAAUGAAUGUUGGCACCAGUGACCCAAGGACUAGAAGAACAGACUCAGAAGCUUGGCAGUAUAUGGAAGAACGAAGAAGAGGAAGAAAAUUGAUACUUAAAUUAGGAGAAGAUAGAGCUGACUACAGAAGGAAAAACAAUCCUUUCUGAGAGGACCAGAAUCCUCCAGAAGAAGAGGCCGAGACAAGGAUUUAAAUACAAGUUGUUUAUAUGGGAAAUGCAAAGAACACUGGAAAGGAAAUAGGCAAGUGAUACAGAGA